rnacentral:rRNA from 1 species
GUCCAUGGCCAUACUACCCUGAAGUUGUCCAAUCUUAUCUGAUCUCUGAAGCUAAGCAGGUUGGGUCUGGUUAGUAUGUGAUAUUCUUCUGUAGUGCUAUUCAGCCCCAUUGUUGUUUGGAAAUUGUGGAAG